rnacentral:rRNA from 1 species
GACGAACGCUGGCGGCGUGCCUAAUGCAUGCAAGUCGCACGGGUCUCCUUCGGGAGGUCAGUGGCGAACGGCUGAGGAACACGUGGGGACCUAUCUUUCAGUGGGGGACAACACCGCGAAAGCGGUGCUAAUCCCGCAUACGCUCUGCGGAGGAAAGCGUGGCAACACGCGCUGAAGACUGGCCCUGCGGCCCAUCAGGUAGUUGGCGGGGUAACGGCCCACCAAGCCCGUGACGGGUCGCUGGUCUGUGAGGACGACCAGCCAGACUGGGACUGAGAUACGGCCCAGACUCCUACGGGAGGCAGCAGCAAGGAAUUUUCGGCAAUGGGCGCAAGCCUGACCGAGCAACGCCGCGUGCGGGAUGACGGCAUUCGGGUUGUAAACCGCUUUUGGGGGGGAAGAAACAGACGGUACCCCCCGAAUCAGCCCCGGCUAACUCUGU